UUUAGUCCCUCUUUCAAUUAAACCCAGAAGAUAAAAAAUAAAAUCAAUUUUAGAAAAUAAAAAAACUCCAGCCCUAAAUUAGUCUUCAUCAUCUCACCGUCUUCAUCAUCACAUCAACACCACACCAGAACCAACAUGAAUUAGCACCACCAUCUUCCUCCGUCGUCAAGCUCGAUCAUCCCACCAUCGCUUCCCCUCCAUCCAGAUCGCACCAGCACCGUAUCUCCCCUCCUCCUGGAUUAAACGCGCCGCCACCUUCAUCACCACGACCUUAAUCGCGCUCAGCCACCUCCUCUCUUCCCAAAUCAAUCCCCUUCAUCACCGAUCUGAAGCUUUUCUCUCCAAACACUGAAAACCCAACAGAUCGGGCGCGGUGCUCUGAUUUCAUUACAUUCGUUUCCUCUUCCUCUUCCUAUUCUGUUGAUGUUGCAGUGGAUGCUUUUGGUUCUUGUGUUUCCUUGCUUCAUGAAAUCGACUGGGAGGAAACAAUGAUCCUUCUGAAUCCAAGUGCUCUUUGAUCGAUGGCUAGGUGCGGGUUGUGCUUUGACUGCCGCUGGGGAAUUUAAGAUGGAAGGCAGGAUGAUAGUAAGGGUGGGAUUUUGUUUUCUUUUCUUUCUUCUUGAAUGUUCUAUUUCUUGCAUUGCUUUGUCUUUGCCUUCUUUCAUUUCUUGUAAUUGGCACCAUCUAAUUGCUUAUGAAAAAAAAGAUGGGGGCUUAAUUUUUUGCGUUUUGCUUAUUGUUUCUGGAUUUGAGAGUUUAAUUUUCCAGGUUUUUGUUCUUGUUCUUGAGUUUGGGAAACCAUAUUUAAUCCAAUUGUGAAUCUUACAUUGUGACUAGUUUGCCA